CCUACGGGAGGCAGCAGUGAGGAAUAUUGGACAAUGGGCGCAAGCCUGAUCCAGCCAUGCCGCGUGCAGGAUGACGGUCCUAUGGAUUGUAAACUGCUUUUGUACAGGAAGAAACACUCCCUCGUGAGGGAGCUUGACGGUACUGUAAGAAUAAGGAUCGGCUAACUCCGUGCCAGCAGCCGCGGUAAUACGGAGGAUCCAAGCGUUAUCCGGAAUCAUUGGGUUUAAAGGGUCCGUAGGCGGUCAGAUAAGUCAGUGGUGAAAGCCCAUCGCUCAACGGUGGAACGGCCAUUGAUACUGUCUGACUUGAAUUAUUAGGAAGUAACUAGAAUAUGUAGUGUAGCGGUGAAAUGCUUAGAGAUUACAUGGAAUACCAAUUGCGAAGGCAGGUUACUACUAAUGGAUUGACGCUGAUGGACGAAAGCGUGGGUAGCGAACAGGAUUAGAUACCCUGGUAGUCCACGCCGUAAACGAUGGAUACUAGCUGUUGGGAGCAAUUUCAGUGGCUAAGCGAAAGUGAUAAGUAUCCCACCUGGGGAGUACGUUCGCAAGAAUGAAACUCAAAUGAAUUGACGGNGUGAGACGAGCGAGGACGACGACGAGGGAGGAGG
rnacentral:rRNA from 1 species